rnacentral:rRNA from 1 species
UACGUAGGGAGCAAGCGUUGUCCGGAAUCAUUGGGCGUAAAGCGCGCGUAGGUGGCUUCGUAAGUCCGUUGUGAAAGUCAAAGGCUCAACCUUUGAAAGCCGAUGGAUACUGUGAAGCUAGAGUACGGAAGAGGCGAGUGGAAUUCCUGGUGUAGCGGUGGAAUGCGCAGAUAUCAGGAGGAACACCAAUGGCGAAGGCAGCUCGCUGGGACGGUACUGACGCUGAGACGCGAAAGCGUGGGGAGCAAACAGG